rnacentral:rRNA from 1 species
GAUGAACGCUGGCGGCGUGCCUAAUACAUGCAAGUCGAGCGAACGGACGAGAAGCUUGCUUUUCUGAUGUUAGCGGCGGACGGGUGAGUAACACGUGGAUAACCUACCUAUAAGACUGGGAUAACUUCGGGAAACCGGAGCUAAUACCGGAUAAUAUUUUGAACCGCAUGGUUCAAAAGUGAAAGACGGUCUUGCUGUCACUUAUAGAUGGAUCCGCGCUGCAUUAGCUAGUUGGUAAGGUAACGGCUUACCAAGGCAACGAUGCAUAGCCGACCUGAGAGGGUGAUAGGCCACACUGGAACUGAGACACGGUCCAGACUCCUACGGGAGGCAGCAGUAGGGAAUCUUCCGCAAUGGGCGAAAGCCUGACGGAGCAACGCCGCGUGAGUGACGAAGGUCUUCGGAUCGUAAAACUCUGUUAUUAGGGAAGAACAUAUGUGUAAGUAACUGUGCACAUCUUGACGGUACCUAAUCAGAAAGCCACGGCUAACUACGUG